CUCCAUGUUAUUCAUCACAGCAAUGAUGAAUGAUUUAUAUCAGAACAUGGAACUCAUCACUGAAAACAGCUCCACAUCUCCCUUUUCAAGAUAAAAUAUGCUCAUUAUCAGUGGUGGAUAACUAUCAAUUUAGGAAACAUAUUUUUCUUUAACAUGUGUCUCAUUCAAUCAAUCUGAAUGCUAAUUUAAUUUAAUUCAUCUAUCGACGAUGACAUAUGACUGUUACCCAUCUGCACCCAAAAUUAACCACAUAAAUCAGGAUGACCUCUUACAUGGUUAAAAAUAGUUAGACUAAAUACUUAAACAUUCUGUCACAAAAUUAAAUCUAAUGCAACACUCUUAUUCUUAAGCACUUCAAGUUGAUGAAGCCACAAGCAGACAAAAUCAGGGAUUCACGAAGCUGUCAACUGUCCGUGAGAUAAAUACUUGAUCUCAACUUUGAUACUCAGGGACGUUAUUGGGCAGAAAUUAAACACUUACCUGCCAACAAUGAGGGAGUGUCACAUUGGCUGUAUCAAACACCUCCUAGUGGAGAUAUUCUGAGCAACAUUGAAAAGUUCGGAGACAAAAAUGCACAGCUUCCUUUUGGACAACUUUAUAUAAACUCUAUUUAUUUCUCAAUAAUUAAUGAUUAAAUCACAAUGCUUCUAGAGAAAGGUACAGAACUAUAGAUAAAAUAAUGCAGAUUAAAAAGUUGAUAUUGUCUUCCCUGUAAUGUACAACAGUCUUGAUAGCCCUCCUACAACCUACUUGUUUACUUAAAUCUUAACAGAUGGGGUUUCAUUUAUAUAAGAUGCCACUGUCAUCGUUGUUAUAAACUGCACUUAAUAGGUGAAUAAUCAUGCUUAAGUUGUUAUAAAAGCACAAUGAAUUAAUAACUUGACCUGAGGAGCCUCACAAUAUAAGCAAAGGCUGCUUCUGCACUAAAAACCAUGACGGAAUUGAGUUAUAUUUGCAUCAGUUUUCAUUGUAAUAACUUAAUUAAACCCCAAAGACAUUGAGAUUUGCCCAUAAAACUUUGAAGUGAAAAGUGCUUAAGAAAAGCAGUGUACAGCUGUUAGCAGCACACAGGGGACAAUUUACUGUACCAUGGAUUGAUUUUUUUUCCCUUUAACAGCUGAAAUUGCUGAAUGUACAUCAAACAGGUAAUUUAAGUGUCUCUUACAACAUUAUUACAUUACUAAAACCUUAGUAUUGUCAGCUCUCUCAAUCUCCUUUUCAUUACACUGGCACAAUGAAAAAAAAGGUUUUCAGAUAUGUGGCAGGUCAAUGCAAUCAAUCUGCAGUCUCUGCUAGCCAUUAAUAAACAUAGAGCCACAAAGUGCUUAAUGAGGAACAGCAGACCAGGAAAUACUAAGGUCUGUGGUCACUGUUAUUCCGGGGCAAUAUUACCUCCAGAUUUACCCUCUAUAAUCUGCUUUUGUACUAUAGCUGUUCCUCAUGCGUGGCUCCAAUAAAACCAUUAUUUAACAGCCCAGCUUUUCCACGAAUGCUAUAGAUAUUACGUAAAUGAUAUAAUUUUGUUUUCUCAAUUUACAUUAAAACAGAUUAAAAUUUAAUCAGGACGAAACAGAAAAUACUCUAAAGACGACGAGGGGCUUUGUUUUGGCAUAUGAAAUUAAAAUUGUAAUAAUAACUUGGAUAUCAUGGCAUAAAAUUUCGCAAAGAAAGUCUAAUGAUGAAUACUUCGAUAUGAAUACGCGAGGUAUUUGCAUAAUGAAAGUAUCAUUCGUCUAAAUUAAGGCUAUGCGCAACUGUUUAAUCUUAACGAAAAUAUCUCCCUUGAGCAAAGGAAAGCCGAGCUAAAAAGGGGAAUAAUUUUAAAAAUCGAUUUUCUCACGUUUAAAGUGAUGUUACAGGUUUGACAAUUUCUAUGAUUGUUUUGUGCUAAUCUUCUAUCUGCAAUUCUCCGUUUACGAAACCAGAAACGACGUCAUGUUUCUGAUAAGGUAAAGUCUUUAUUUUAUUUUGUUUUCGAAUAGCAAUUAAUAUGUUAUUUGCUUUUAAAAAAAUACAACAAUGUUUGAUGUUUACAAGGGAGGCAGCACGAUCGCGAAAAGCCACUUAACCUCAAUGAAAAUAAUAAAAAAUAAAACUCCCACACACCGCGAACAGAGCCAAACGUGUACUUAUUGUGCUGAAAUACCAUUCAGGCGAUCACAUUAAAGGUGGGAAUAACAACUGGUGGAAACGAAUAAACGAAAGUGAUACUUGGAAAAGAACCGCUGUAAAUUUUCUGCUUGCUGCAUAUGGACAGCUAAGGAGGAACUGAUGGAGAUUUAUUGGAAACAUUGUCCACCCAGAGACGGAGCAACAUCUCAAAUCCCGGCUUGCUCACAACCCUCAAACGGAGAAAUUGAGAGGAUCUUGCUUGUGGUGGGUGACUGGAGGUGAGGAAUGAAGCCUGAAACAACUUGGCUAUUAGUCCAACUAUUUUCCUCUAGGCUCAAGAUCCAAAGCUGAAACAAAAUAAUGAUCUUGGAAUACUGCAGCAGCCGCACCCUCUGUAUUUCCAGAAAACCUCCAAAAGCUGCACAGUUCAUCUGAGUGAAAUUGGACCACCCACUCACAAGGAAGACUGAUGGCGAGAUAUUAACGUUGACCUUUUUUAACAUUCACCUGCGGAGAUGAAUAGCUCCAAGUCUUGUACAAAUGUAUAACUACAAAUAGAAAGUCCAUAAAUCCAGCUGACCUAACCAACAAUUGCUAGAACUGGAACUCGGAAUGCAUAUCCCUACAGAAAUGUGUUCUUGGGCCCAUCCCCUAGCAGACAAUAAUAGAGUUAAGAUAAACUUUCAAGUUCCUAAACCUAAUUAUAUGCCUACUCAACUUGCAAUCUGUGCUGCAUAGUGUUGACACUGCCCAGUGGUUUACACAAAUCCUUGCUUUAGCAUAAAUGGCAGAUGUUAUGCCCCUGGUCACUACAACUGUUGCUGAAGUGCUGACAUCUGAUAGCAUUUCUUGAUAUUAAGGUCUUCCUGGCUGUGAUUACUUUCAUAAUUUGAAACCCUCAUGUCCACCUUUUGGAAUAAAUAUUUGUCAUAUACCAACUAUUUCUGCCAACAUGAAUGGGCCAAUUGGCCGAUCUGUUUGUUAAUUUGCAUGUGUAAUUAUUGCAGUUGAGCUUUGAUUGUUCAUUUUAACUGUGCAAUGUACUGAAAUAUGUAAUGUUGAUUGCUAGAUGUUGCAGCAGAAUAUUGUUUAAUGUAUCUGAAUAACUGAAACUACAUUUAUUUUUAUACCAACAC